rnacentral:rRNA from 1 species
CACGUAGGGGGCGAGCGUUUGUCCGGAUUUAUUGGGCGUAAAGAGCUCGUAGGCGGCUAAGUAAGUCGGGUGUGAAAUCCCCAGGCUUAACCUGGGAACUGCAUUCGAGACUGCAUUGCUAGAGUAUGGGGAGAGGGAAGUGGAAUUUCCGGUGUAGCGGUGAAAUGCGUAGAUAUCGGAAGGAACAUCAGUGGCGAAAGCGACUUCCUGGACCAAUACUGACGCUCAUGUGCGAAAGCGUGGGGAGCAAACAGG